rnacentral:tRNA from 1 species
GGGGGCUUAGCUCAGCUGGGAGAGCAUCUGCCUUACAAGCAGAGGGUCAUAGGUUCGAGCCCUAUAGGCCCCA